rnacentral:rRNA from 1 species
AGAACGUAGCGAAAUGCGAUACUUGGUGUGAAUUGCAGAAUCCCGUGAACCAUCGAGUCUUUGAACGCAAGUUGCGCCCGAAGCCAUUAGGCCGAGGGCACGCCUGCCUGGGUGUCA